GGCUUUGUAGUUAAGUGGUACAAUACCUGCUUAGGGUGCAGGUGGCGCGGGUUCGAUUCCCGCCGAAGCCC
rfam:Entamoeba invadens IP1 unplaced genomic scaffold scaff_1105074724795, whole genome shotgun sequence.